AACGGUCUAUACCUGCGGUACCUGCGGAGGGAUCAUUAAUGAUAUGUAUAUUGUGAUGUCUGUGAAGUGGUGGCUGGGUGAGGGGUGAGCGGGGGGGUGGUGGAUGGUGGUGUGCUGUGUGGUGCGCGUGCUGUAUUGUAUUGUAUGGUGCGCGUGCUGCAUGGUGCGCUGUGCUGUUGCCCCUGCUGCUUGCUCCCUUGCAGCCACUGGAUAACCGGUGUUGUGUGACGUGCAUUAUUA
rnacentral:misc_RNA from 1 species